rnacentral:rRNA from 1 species
GAGUUUGAUCCUGGCUCAGAUUGAACGCUGGCGGCAUGCCUUACACAUGCAAGUCGAACGGCAGCACGGGAGCUUGCUCCUGGUGGCGAGUGGCGAACGGGUGAGUAAUGCAUCGGAACGUAUCCUGGAGUGGGGGAUAACGUAGCGAAAGUUACGCUAAUACCGCAUAUUCUGUGAGCAGGAAAGCGGGGGACCUUCGGGCCUCGCGCUCUUGGAGCGGCCGAUGUCGGAUUAGCUAGUUGGUGAGGUAAAGGCUCACCAAGGCGACGAUCCGUAGCAGGUCUGAGAGGAUGAUCUGCCACACUGGAACUGAGACACGGUCCAGACUCCUACGGGAGGCAGCAGUGGGAAUUUGGACAAUGGGGGCAACCCUGAUCCAGCCAUGCCGCGUGAGUGAAGAAGGCC